rnacentral:rRNA from 2 species
GCGUAAGCGCGCGCAGGUGGUUUCUUAAGUCUGAUGUGAAAGCCCACGGCUCAACCGUGGAGGGUCAUUGGAAACUGGGGAACUUGAGUGCAGAAGAGGAAAGCGGAAUUCCACGUGUAGCGGUGAAAUGCGUAGAGAUGUGGAGGAACACCAGUGGCGAAGGCGACUUUCUGGUCUGUAACUGACACUGAGGCGCGAAAGCGUGGGGAGCAAACAGGAUUAGAUACCCUGGUAGUCCACGCCGUAAACGAUGAGUGCUAAGUGUUAGAGGGUUUCCGCCCUUUAUUGCUGAACUUAACGCAUUAAGCACUCCGCCUGGGGAGUACGGCCGCAAGACUGAAACUCAAAGGAAUUGACGGGGGCCCGCACAACCGGUGGACCUUGUGGUUUAAUUCAAACCAACGCAAAAACCCUUACCAGGUCUUGACAUCCUCUGACUUUUCUAAA